ACAAGAAACCCGGAGACGCCAGCUACGCUAGCAAUGGGAGAAACUCGGCGUAAAGGACUGGCACUGGAAAGUUCAAAACCAUCGUAAAUUGAUCAUCGUCUACAUUGGUCAUUCCUUUCGUAGCUCGAGAUAUCGUGGUAGAUAUCAUCAAUUGCAUGAUGCAAUCAAGCGUUGUUUUUGGAUGAUAUCACUUGAUUCGGAUUCCUGUGUACUGCGAGCUUCUGUUACUCUGGCGUUCUCUGUUUGUUAGCCAUUUUGGUGCUCGGGGUACUUGAGGGGAUGGACUUAGUAUCUAGUUGCAAGGAUAAAUUGGCAUCCUUUCGUAUAAAAGAGCUUAAGGAUGUACUCACUCAGCUUGGACUUGCAAAGCAAGGAAAAAAACAGGAUCUUGUGGAUAGAAUUUUAGCUGUGCUUUCUGAUGAACAAGUUUCCAAGACGCAUUGGGCAAAAAGAAAUCCUGUCGGGAAGGAAGGAGUGGCUAAAAUUAUCGAUGAUAUUUACAGAUUGAUACCAUCUGCUCUUCCUGCCAGAAAAAUGCAAAUUCCUGGUGCUACUGAUUUAGCUUCAAAGGGACAUAGCGGCUCAGAUGUGAAUAACAUGAAACUUAAAGAGGAAGUUGAUGAUUCUUUUCAAUUGGAACAGAAGAUCCGCUGUCCAUGUGGAAGUUCACUGCCCAUGGAGUCCAUGAUUCUGUGUGAGGAUUCACGAUGCCAUGUCUGGCAACAUAUUAGCUGUGUUAUUAUUCCAGAGAAACCUAUGGAGGGUGUUCCACCAGUUCCACCUCAAUUCUAUUGUGAAAUUUGCCGAAUCAGUCGAGCAGACCCUUUCUGGGUGACACUUGCCCAUUCUCUACUUCCGGUUAAAUUGACAACUUCUAAUAUUCCAACUGAUGGGACAAAUCCAUUGCAAAAUGUGGAAAGAACAUUUCAAUUGACAAGAGCUGACAGAGAUUUAUUACAAAAACCUGAGUAUGAUGUUCAGGCUUGGUGUAUUCUUCUCAAUGAUAAGGUUCCAUUCAGGAUGCAGUGGCCACAAUAUGCUGAUUUUCAGGUCAAUGGUGUGCAAGUCCGUACAACCAAUAGACCUGGAACACAGUUGUUGGGAGCUAAUGGUCGUGAUGAUGGUCCAGCAAUCACAGCAUAUACGAGGGAGGGAAUCAAUAAGAUAUCUUUAUCAGGGUGCGAUGCUCGUAUUUUCUGCUUAGGGGUGAGGAUUGUUCGGCGACGUACAGUUCAACAGGUUAUGAACUUGAUUCCAAAGGAGCAGGUUGGUGAACAAUUUGAAGAUUCUCUUGCUCGCGUUCGCCGUUGUGUUGGUGGCGGUACUGCCACUGAUAAUGCAGAUAGUGACAGUGAUCUGGAAGUUGUGGCAGAUUCAAUCACAGUCAAUCUCCGCUGCCCUAUGAGUGGGUCUAGAAUGAAGAUUGCUGGCAGGUUCAAGCCUUGUGCUCAUAUGGGCUGUUUUGAUCUUGACACUUUCGUUGAACUUAAUCAACGUUCCAGGAAGUGGCAAUGCCCCGUUUGUCUCAAGAACUACUCGUUGGAGAAUCUCAUCAUAGACCCGUAUUUCAAUCGCAUUACAACUAAGAUGCAAGAUUGUGGAGAAGAUGUUAAUGAGAUUGAUGUGAGGCCUGAUGGGUCAUGGCGUGUAAAAAAUGAAAAUGAGCGUAGGGAUCUUGCUCAAUGGCACUUACCUGAUGGCUCUCUAUAUGUUACUGAGGGAGACAUGAAGCCCUUAGAAACUCCGAAGCAGAUCAAACAGGAAGGUGUUUCAGAAGGACAUGCUGGUCUGAAGCUGGGAAUAAGAAAGAACAGCAAUGGACAUUGGGAAGUUAGCAAACCUGAAGAAAUCCGUGCCCUAUCCUCUGAAAAUCGACUGCAAGAUAAGUUGGAAAACCAUCGCCCAAAAAUCAUGCCAAUGAGCAGCAGUGCUACUGGAAGCUGUCGCGAUGGUGAUGAUCCAAGUGUUAAUCAGGAGGGAGGUGGACAUUUUGAUUUCUCUACCACCAAUGACAAUGAGUUGGAUUCUAUUUCUUUGAAUUUUGAGUCUCCAUAUGGAGUGGCCAACAGGAAUCCUUCUGCAGUGAAUGCAGAUGUUAUUGUUCUCAGUGAUUCAGAGGAAGAGAAUGAAAAUCUAAUUUCUACCGACACCGCCUUAGCCUAUGACCCUGUUCGAGCAGAUCCCAGUGAAAUUGUUUUUUCUGUCCCCCCUUCUGGAAUUCCUGACUCAUACCAUGAUCCAGGUAUUUCCACUGGUGGAAAUUCUUGCCUGGGUCUCUUCAAUGGUACUGGCGAUGAUUUUGGGAUGCCUCUUUGGCAACUGCCAUCUGGUACUCAGGCAGGUUCUAGUUUCCAACUGUUUGGUACUGAUACAGAUGUCUCAGAGACCUUAGUCGAUGUGCAACGUACUUCUGUUACUUGUCCUACACCAGUGAAUGGCUAUGUGUUGGCUCCAGAUACAGCUGUUGGAACUGCUACACAAGCCCCAGCUGCUCUUGUUUGUCGGUCCAUUCCUGAUAUAAAUGAUGGCUUGGUUGAUAACCCAUUGGGGUUUGGGGGGGAUGACCCUUCUCUGCAAAUUUUCCUGCCCACUUGUCCAGCAGGUGUCUCAGCAGAGUCUAACCUGAGAGACCAACCUGAUAUGUCAAAUGGUAUUCGCACAGAAGACUGGAUUUCUCUCAGGCUUGGUGGCAGCAGUGGAGGUGGGACUGCAAGUGGGAGUGGGUGCGGUGGGAACUCUGAAUCCACAAAUUUGAAUUCAAGAGACAAAUUUUCAUCAAAGGAGGGUAGGUUGGAAUCUUUAGCUGAUACUGCUUCUUUGCUUCUGAGUAUGAAUGACAACAGGUCUGACAAGAGAACUACAAAUAGGCAAAAGUCAGAUAGCCCUUUUUCUUUCCCUCGCCAGCCACGAUCUGUAAGGCCAAGGUUGGAUCUCUGUAUAGACUUGGACUCGGAGUAACUUCAAGUGGCAGUGAAAUGAUGGUGGUUCAGCUCCCUUUGAGUUCAAGAUUGGUGUAUUUAAAUUGGAGAAUAUCUAACAUUUCCUUUGAAGAUAGGGAGCUUUUGGUGGCACAAAAUCUCAGUCACUGCAUGGUCAAUGUAGCUGGAUUCUGAUGCUUCAAAAUUUAUCGGGACUCACAUAUACAUUUAACCCCUGGACCAACACAAAUUUAUCUUGUUUUGAUUUCCCUUUCCCCCAAUCUAAAGUUUUGUAGGUCUGGUGAUGUUGCAUCUGCAGUAAAUUGUACAAAUAGAGAAGAACCAUAUGAAGAGUUUAAAUAUAGUAGACAUCCUGAAAGGUUCAAUUCUUUAGGUUACUGGGGAAGCCUUCUUCCUUUCUGUACCAUACUAAUUUGUUUUCUUUUCCGGUUCCGCCAAUGGUGGCAAUAAGCCUGUAACAUAUAUCUUCAAAUGGCCAUUUUAUCAUCAAUGGAACCAUUUCUUUCAGCCAAA